rnacentral:rRNA from 1 species
AGUGAACGCUGGCGGUAGGCCUAACACAUGCAAGUCGAACGGCAGCACAGGAGAGCUUGCUCUCUGGGUGGCGAGUGGCGGACGGGUGAGGAAUACAUCGGAAUCUACUCUGUCGUGGGGGAUAACGUAGGGAAACUUACGCUAAUACCGCAUACGACCUACGGGUGAAAGCAGGGGACCUUCGGGCCUUGCGCGAUUGAAUGAGCCGAUGUCGGAUUAGCUAGUUGGCGGGGUAAAGGCCCACCAAGGCGACGAUCCGUAGCUGGUCUGCGAGGAUGAGCAGCCGCACUGGAACGGAGACACGGUCCAGCCUCCUACGGGAGGCAGCAGUGGGGAAUAUUGGACAAUGGGCGCAAGCCUGAUCCAGCCAUACCGCGUGGGUGAAGAAGGCCUUCGGGUUGUAAAGCCCUUUUGUUGGGAAAGAAAUCCAGCUGGCUAAUACCCGGUUGGGAUGACGGUACCCAAAGAAUAAGCACCGGCUAACUUCGUGCCAGCCGCCGCGGUAA